UCUAAGCAUCGACCUUUGUGAUGCGAGUUGCGUUGCUUCGCCGAGUGGGUCUAGUCCUAUGGUUCCAUCAUAUGGGUCUGGCUCUACCAUGAACGUCAUCGUCUUCUGCUUGGUAGAGAGGUGUUGAAGGAGCACGACUUGCAAUUGGCUGACCGGCACAAGAGCCAAUUGGAAACCAAGUUAGCUAAGACGGCAAGGAUCUCAUCUGGGGCGAUUAUGGGCCUCACUACGCGUAGAUGAGGAAGGUCUGCACACUCUAGCUUUUCUCUCCCAAGCGCCUUGAAGCCUUAAGACCCCUUCGAGAAGACGAGGCACCGCCAUGGUUGAGUCCAUCUUCAAGAGAAAGCACUAGAACCGAUAAACGAUGCUGUUAUGAAUUUUAGCAAAUGGCAGAACAUAUUAAAAAAUGGGAGAAGAUUUGGGGACAUGAUUGCGUUGAAGCUCAACAAUAUUGUGCCUCAUUUCUCAGCAUCAAGGCCGGUGAUUUGCAGGAUUAGCAUCAUCAAUUGAUAUUAUUGUUUAUGAUGCAUCAAAAGGAUCCUCCAGCUAAUGCAAGAAAUUGAAGAAUGAGACGGCAAGGAUCUCAUUUGGGCUAUUGAUCAUGGUUGAGUCUGUCUUCAACGAUUCCAUAAAUCCUGGGGUUUACUUUACGAGGUCGGGAAAGACGUUCAAAUCCAAAUUUGAGUCCUGAACGGUUAAACCCAUAUCUCCCGGUCAUAGCCUCGCUCUCGGACUCUGCUCUUCUUUCCUGGCGUCGUCACCGUCACCCACCAUUCUUUGUGCUCUCCGGUGACGUCCUCUGGCUCCCAACAGUCGUGCUUAUUUGUUUUUGACCUUGAAUCCUCAGUGAUACAACUCUCUCUCUCUCUCUCUCUCACACAUUUUUCGCAGGCUAAUCAAACCGAGAAAUGGUUUUUCUCGUUAAAUGGAUUGGAGGAAAUUGGUCCAAUUUUCAAUCCAUGUACUAGUGACUUCCAUGAAAUGUUCUUAUUGUUAAAAUUGUCAGAGGGUUUAUGGACAAUUGGCCUUUCUCUUCAAAUUAAGCAUGUGUGUUUGA